AUUGCAGCAGCCGUGAAGCUCCACUACAAGAAAACCCUGCAUAGACAGCAUCUUGGGGUAUCUUUUGCCGAUGCUAACAAAAAUCCGAGCACUGUUAAAGAUUCCUAUAAAUACGUAAAUAAAAAAAACCCUACCCUAUUUUCCACUGCUCUCCCCGCCCCCGACUCUCUCUCUCUCUCUCUCUCUCUCUCGUUCGCGCGCGGGGCAUUGAAUGUUGGAUCUAGCAUGUAAUCGGCACUGAGAAGUGAAGCAUCUCUCUCUAUCUCUGUAGCAGAUCUCGAACGUUAGAGAUCUUCCUUAGCUCAGGAACUGUUUACCUCUCUAUUUAUUCAUUGGUUGCCAGGAUCUUUGGCAUGAAUCUCCCAUAUACAUGGAAUCUAAACCAUGGACAUCUAUUUAAAUGGGAAUUGACUCUGCUUCCCAACUGCUACAUUGAGGAUAAGAUGUGGCUGCUGAAAUUCUACAUCAAGGUUAGAGAAAACCCAAUUAGCCCAGGAUUGUCAGUGGGCUUGUCACAGCCUCCGGCCAGUUCAAAAUCUGGGCUUAAACCAACCCAGUUUAGAUGAUCUGCCAUUAAAGCAGUUAACUAUCAGGUAAUUGAUUAUGGAGUUCAUAAGCUUUGGAAAUACAACAACAUUGGGGAGGGGUCUCGCCCCUAUAUUUGACAAUAUGAACAGGGGAUGUACAGUCCACACACAUUCAGGUGGGCAACACAAAAAUGUCGGGCCUCACAAUCAGGUGUUGCUGCAACUUCGUUUAAAGCAAGCUGUUUCAUAUUUCUGGUGUGGCCCUAUUUAAAUCAAGGGUAGGCAUCCCCUCUCACAUUGUUCCCUUAUGUUGUGGCCCACUUGACUGUUGGAUCAAGUGGAUUUAGGUAAUGUGUGGUGAUGCAUCUGAUAGAUAGGGUUGAUGGCCUUCAUACAUCAAGUGGGUGCCACAUACCAGCCUGUCCAAAUGGUGCAUCUCAUCAUGAUGUCCACAUGAACUCAUAAUCAGGCCGAUCUAAUCAUCAAGUGGGCCACAAUUGAAUUUGGAGGGUUUUGGGUUGUGUACACUUUUUAUGGUAUGGCCCACCCGAUUACUGGAUUGGCCUGAUUUUUGGUUUGUGUGAUCAAAAUGGUGGGAGGCACCUGUUGGAUGGGUUGGAUAUCAUAUACACAUGGACACAUGAGCCCCAAUACGGACCCCACAAUGCCUUGACCCUACUACCUUUUUAAGAAUAAUAAUAGAUGACGACAUUUUAGCCAUUUUACUCACCAAAAAGCAAUCUACUGUACUUUAAAAAG